rnacentral:rRNA from 1 species
GACGAACGCUGGCGGCGUGCUUAACACAUGCAAGUCGAACGGAAAGGCCCUGCUUUUGUGGGGUGCUCGAGUGGCGAACGGGUGAGUAACACGUGAGUAACCUGCCCUUGACUUUGGGAUAACUUCAGGAAACUGGGGCUAAUACCGGAUAGGAGCUCCUGCUGCAUGGUGGGGGUUGGAAAGUUUCGGCGGUUGGGGAUGGACUCGCGGCUUAUCAGCUUGUUGGUGGGGUAGUGGCUUACCAAGGCUUUGACGGGUAGCCGGCCUGAGAGGGUGACCGGCCACAUUGGGACUGAGAUACGGCCCAGUAUCCUACGGGAGGCAGCAGUGGGGAAUAUUGCAGAAUGGGCGGAAGCCUGAUGCAGCAACGCCGCGUGCGGGAUGACGGCCUUCGGGUUGUAAACCGCUUUCGCCUGUGACGAAGCGUGAGUGAGGGUAAUGGGUAAAGAAGCACCGGCUAACUACGUG